UGCUUUAUGUAACCCCAUAUAAAGUAAUCCCUGCCCAGUGAUUCUCAUUAAACGGCCGCGGUAUCCUAACCGUGCAAAGGUAGCAUAAUCACUUGUCUAUUAAUUGUGGACUAGAAUGAAGGGGCCAACGAAAUAAAAGCUGUCUCUAUAAGUAACAUAAAAAUUAAUCUCUAACUGAAGAACGUUAGAUUCCGUCGAAGGACAAGAAGACCCUAUAGAGCUUUAUUUAAUUUAAAAUAAAUUUAAAAAAAAAAUUCGGUUGGGGCGACCAGGGAAUAUAAAUCAUCCCUUAAAUAAUGAUUAAUUGAUCUAAGUCUUGACCCUUUAUACAAGAUCACAAGAACAAGCUACCUUAGGGAUAACAGGCUAAUUUUACUAAAGAGUCCUUAUCAAUAGUAAAGUUUGGCACCUCGAUGUUGGCUUAGGGAAUCUAUAUGGCGCAAAAGUCACAUAAAGAUGGUUUGUUCAACCAAUAACACCCU
rnacentral:rRNA from 1 species